AAGGGGUGAAAAGAACAAAGUUUUGUCCAUCUUUGUUCAUCAUAGCUGAAAGUUAGAGAAGAGAAAGGAGAGGAGAAAGCUCUUGAGUAUUCGGUCAUUAGGAGGAGGAAAAUUGAAGGUAAGUUCUUGGUACCUUGCUUCUAUUUUGAGGUUCAUGAGUUCUUCUUGAUUCUACCUUAACUCUUGAAGUAUAUUUUGAUUUUUAGUUGUGUUGUGAGCAUUUAGUCAUGAAUUAAAAUGAAGGAAAUGGUUGUUGUUUCAUGUUCUUUUGAUGAAAAAUGGAAGAUAGGUGAAGUUGAGCCAAACAAAUGAGCAUGCAUGUGCCUUAGAUGUUAAAGGGAAAAAUCAGCUAACAUGUUGUGCUUUAAAAUGAUGAAAUGGAGAUUAUACUUAAGUAAAAUCAUAGAUAUGUGAUGAUUGAUUGGUGAUAUACAUGUUUAAAUAACAUGCAUGCAAGGUAUGUGUGAAAGAGUGAUUUGGUAAUAAAUCUGCUUGGGGCAGCAGCAGUAACGUGACUUUGGAAAAUCACCAUAAAUUGUGGGAGAUGAAUUAGAAGCUGAAUAAAUCAUGUAAUUAAAUUCUAUUGAGUCUAGUUUCAAAUGAAAUAAACGAGAACAUAUUUUGAAUUCUGUACAAUGAGAAAUUUGAUUCGUAAUGAAGAGUGGUCAGAUUAGUCAAAUAGUGAAACAUCCGAAACUUUGAGAAAAAUCUGGUAUUGAUUGGCAAAACAAAAAAUUCUGAAAAUUUUAUGGAUAUAAGAUAUAUGAGUCUAUUUUCAGGGAAAAUUAACGGCACUUGAUUUGGAGUUUCGUAGCUCCAGUUAUAAAUGAUUUAGUGACUGUUGCUCAGGAAGACAGCUUGCAGUGAAAUUAUGAUUAUGUGGUAAACAUUGACAAAAAUUUGUUAAUGAGUUGCUUAUUGAUUUCUUAUAAGCUUACUAUGAUUUGUAGGUGUGGUUGGCUGAAUAUUGUAAGGGGUUAAUACGUAGUUUGUAUUCGAAUAGUUAGAUUAACGUGUUAGUAAUCCAAUUGUAGGCGGUUCGUGUGUGGAUCUCGUCAGUAUAUCGUCGCAAACAGGUGUGUAACUAACACCCUCUUUCUUAGUCUAGAUCGGCAAAAGUCGAAAAGCCGAAAUGCCGAAAACCGGUAUUUUGUAGAUUUGCGAGUGUGCGAAUGCUCGCGAGGUAAAUCGAUUAAUGUUUUAGGUAAGUUGCAAUGUUUUGACUACAAAGUGCAUGAUUUCUGUGCCCUCGAUAUUUUUGGGCUUAAUGGGCCAAAAUUGGAAUGAUGGGCCAACGGGCCCAAUUCGGUAAGAACCCUCGGUACGUGAUUCUGUUAGUACGUGAAAAGUAGGAAUAUGCAUGAAAAACUCUAAAAUAGAUAAAUUACUGAAAUACCUUUAAAAGUGGAAAAUUUACAGUUUUACCCCUAGUAGAUAAAUUACCGAAAUACCCCUAGGGUUAAAUUGACCUAAAUGCAUGUUUGACUGUUGUUAUUUACUGCAUGCCAUGUUGUUAUUAUCUAAUGCAUGGGACUGGGAUAUUGAUGGAGGAAGUACUGAAAGUGGCUUGUCCACGUACUGGAGGCUUUGCCCUAAUUUACUGUUAACUGAGCAGCAAGGCUGCAACUGUGGAGUGUUGGGCUGGGUGGGUUGGGCUAUUCCCCACAUGGAGUGUAUGGCUGGUACGGGUGGAGUGUAGUGGUUGGUGGGUUGAGUAGUCUCCCCAAAUGGGCUUGCAUAUGUUUACUGAUGUUGCAUGUAUUUUGAAAUGGGCCUAUGGGCCAUACUGUUAUCUAAAUAAGGGGCUAAGGCCCAGUUUAUUGUAACCUGAAAAGGGCUCUGCCCCAGUACCACUGUUACCUGAAUGGGCUUAGGCCCAAUAGGCUUGAGCUGACUUGGGCUUUGAAUGGGUUUUCCUUACACACUGAGUUUCCCCAAACUCACCCCUUUUAUUUUCAUCCACGCAGGAAAUCCCCAACCAUAGUGGGCUUGGAGCUGUGAGGAAAUUCGGAUUGGCCACCCGUUCUGAAAGUUUGGUUUUCUUCUGGUGAACUGGACAUCCUUUUAUUUACGUUUGAAGUUUUGGGUUUUUAAAUGUAAUAAGGCCGCUUAAUUAUUUUUAAUGGUUUUAAUAUGUAUUACUAAGAUAGGUAUUACUUAUUUUAACUGUUGAAAUUGGAUAGCUUUAGGGCGCGUUUUCAAAAACAACAGUUGAUUUCAAAAUAACACGACAACAAGCAAAGCUUCCGCAAUGAAAGUAUUUUCCAAAAUUAAUCACUUUUCCUAAAAAUGACUUAAUCAAAUCAGUUUCCUAGAAAUAUCCAUGAUGUUAAGGUGUGGCAAUGGCGGUAUGCAUGUCUAGGAUUGGAUCCGAAGGGAGCUUGGUAUUUAAGCAGUCCGAUGGACUCACCACCUCUUUUCCGGUUUCCUACCUAGUGCACAGCUUCCAUUCACUUUAACCUAUAAUGAAAUUAUCUUUUAAAACACUAAGUAGGUUUUUUUCUGGAUCAACAAUAUAAAAUGUUUUGAACGCUUCGAUGUGGCAUGUCGGAUCCGGCCAUAACGUCUGGGCCGGGUUUGGGGUGCUACAAAAUUUCUAGAAAAUGAAUGAAAAAAAUAAAAUUACAUAGUUUUUUGCCACAAGGCAUUUCUUGGGUCUUCAAUUGCCAUCGCUCCAUCUUCUCCUUGUCAUGUACUCCUUUUGAUUAAUUACAUUUAAAUCCAUGUUCGUUUCUAGCUCACAAGAAUUCUAUGAAUUUUAAAAAAUAGUCCUAUGUCUAUUUCCUAAGAAUCACAACCUUGACAAUAAAAAAUAAUUAUAUAACAAAUAUAUAAUAUCGCACCCAUUCCCAUAUAUAACUCAAAACAUGCAUAAGAUCUAAAGAACUUCACUUUCUAUGUAAUCAAGUCAUUCAAGAAGAAGAGAAAUGUAACAGCCCGAUUUAGACCCUAAUCGAAACGGUAGUUUCGAGACCACGAAUCCGAGUUAGAAAAAUAUUUUAAUAUUAUUUUCCAUGCUUAUAAUAUGUGAAUUGAUAUCUGUGAAAGUUUCGUGUGGAAAUUUUAUUAUUUGUGUGCUUAAUUUGAAAAAAAUGACUUAAUCGCGUAAAAUGUAAAAGUGGCUAGCCAUUUGUUAAAAGUGCCUAUUUGCUUUUAUUAAAUAAAUUUAAGAUCCUUAUGAUGAAAUUGAACCAUUAUAAAGUUAGUGGAAUUAAUGGUUUGGCAAAGUUCUUAAAUGGAUUAUUUUUAAAGGUUAGUUUUGUAAAUUAGUAAAAUAAGUUAAUAAAAUAAAUCAAAUGCAUGAAAAUAAAGCCAUUAUCACCUUUGUUUUUGCCGAAAAUCAAAAGAAAGGAAAAGAUGAAAGCUUGUUGAACAUUCGGCUAUGGUUAGCUUGAGUUGGUAAGUGAAUUUUGUUCGGUUUUUGAUAAUUUCUAUGUUUUUGUGAUCGUUGCUUCGAAUACUAGUAAACCCAUGCUUCAAUUUUCGAAUUUGAUGAUGAAUUGGAGAAUUGCUAUUAAUGAUAGCUUGAUGUUUUUGUUGUUUGAUGAUGAAAAAUGAAUAUUUGUUGAUAGAUUAUUAUGUUUAAUUAAGUGGUUUUUGAUAAAAAUCCAAAUUUGGGAUUAAAUUGUGGAUUUUGUAAAUUAAGCGGUCAAAAUGUGAAAUAAAUGAAAGAAAUGGGCUGUUAUGAACCUUAGAAGCCUUAGAAAAAUUCAACUAUACUAGAGUUUAGUGAAAGUAUGUGUAUUUUGUGUUUUGUGAAAUAGGGACUAAAUUGCGAAAAAUGUGAAAUGUUAGGGGCAAAAUUGUAAUUAGCCUAUUUAUGUGUUUUUGGAUGAAUUUGAUUGAAUAUAUGAUUAAAUAAGUUGAAUUUGUAUUGAAUUAGAUCAAGAAAUGUAGAAAUCGGAUUUGGACCGGGGAAAAACCAAAGUUGUCGACUAGUUGUCUCAUCCUAAUUACCGUUGUCUGAGGUAAGUUUACAAGCAAAUAAACAUACUUAAUUUUAAUUAAUACAAAGUAUAUAUGCUGAAAUGAAAUAUAUGAAUUAAUAUAUGCUAAUGCUGAAUGUGUAUAAGCAUGGUAACUAUGUUCAUGCAUUCGUUUCGACUGAGCUAUAACAUUUGAAAGUCCGUAUAAACUAUAUGGAAUAUUUGGAAUUUUUGAUAUAUGAAUUGUUUACGAGACAACUUUAUAAUAGUGAUAUUCGGGCUUUGAGACUAGCAAGCCUUGUGCUGGUGAAUUAAAUCGGGCUUAUGCCUAGCAGGCUUAUUGUCAGUGUAUAAAAUCAGACUUUGAGUUUAGCAGGCCUUGUGCCGGUGUGAGAUUCAGGCUUAGGCCUAGCAGGCUUUAUGCCAGUGAAUUAUUAUAAGUUUAUGCCUAAAAGACUUUAUGCUGAUGUGGUAAUUGAAUACGUUAAACGAGCUAAAUGAUUAGGUAUGAGUUAGCUUUUUGUUUACUUGAAAAUAAGGUAAGCUGAUUAUUUGAUAUGUGAUACAAACAUAUGUAUGAUGUUAGUCUGAAAUUUGUGAGUAAUUGUGAAAUAUAUUCAGCCAAAGUUAAGCAUAAUUAUGUGGUAUAAAGGUUUGAGACAUGAUUAUAUGAAAACAAGUGUUUAAAGAUUCGACUUUAUGCAUUAAUAAUAUGAUUUUCAUAGUGUAUGACAUUUUGGUAUAGAUACAUGUAUAUUCGGCUACACGAUAAGUGUAAUUAUGAGAUAUUAAAGUUUGAUUCAAGAAUAUAUGUUUGUGGGUGUGUAUAUUCGAUUAUAUAAUGGUAUUAUGGUUUUGAAAUUGAAUGUUACAUUGAUAAUAGUUAUAGUACAUUCGUUCAAAGGUUACGUAUAGUGAUAUCAUAUUGUGGCCUAUGUGCAAAUUUAUAUAAAUGAUUAUAUAUUGCCUAAAUGAUAUAAAGAAAGAAUAAUGAUAAGUGAUUCAUGAAUAUAUGUAUAUGAUUUUAUAUAUUUAUUCAGUUAAUUAUUGAUAAUGUGGCUUUGAAAUUUGAAUGAUAUAUAUAUUAAUAUUAGUUGUAUGGAUAUUUGGUAAAAGUGAAAGUAUAUGUAUUAUAUGAAAUUAUAAGUUUGAAGUUAAAUGUGAUUAUGAUAGUAUAAAUUGGUUUGGUAAUUAAAUCGAUAUUGACAAUGAGUUAUUUAUUUGCUUAUAGCUUACUAAGCUCUCAAAGCUUAUUCUGUGUGUUUUUCCUAUGUUUAUAGAUUUUCAGAGAUCUGCUCGAGUUGUAAGUCAGUGGAGAUGACAUCACACUAUACGGUUAUCAUUUCAGUAAAUAAUAUUUUAAGGCUCGGUUAUGUGGCAUGUAUAGGCUAGUCUUGAAGUUAAUUGUUUUGAAUGAGUAUGUAUUAAAGCCAUGCGAAAGUGGCUUAACUACCUUGCUUGAAAUCAG
rnacentral:lncRNA from 1 species